rnacentral:rRNA from 1 species
UACGAAGGACCCAAGCGUUAUCCGGAUUUAUUGGGCUUAAAGGGUGCGUAGGCGGAUUAUUAAGUCAGUGGUGAAAGCUCUCGGCUCAACCGGGAAAUUGCCAUUGAUACUGAUAGUCUUGAGUAUGAUUGAGGUGGGCGGAAUGUGUCAUGUAGCGGUGAAAUGCUUAGAUAUGACACAGAACACCGAUUGCGAAGGCAGCUCACUAAGUCAUAACUGACGCUGAUGCACGAAAGCGUGGGGAGCAAACGGG